UAAAAACAAAUACCACCAUAGAUUGUUUCAUGGAGGAUACAAAAAACUUGAGAAAACAAAAAACUAGGAGAUAGGGACUCCAUGAGUCGUGAUCGGGAACCAUCUCCACCAUCAUGACAUGAUAAGUGGAAGAGGUUUCGGCAAAGACCAAAUGGAGACUACACUUCAGAUGCCUCAAGAUUAGUAGCUAAGAAAAUUGUAAGUAGGAC
rnacentral:lncRNA from 1 species